UGGGGAAUAUUGGACAAUGGGCGAAAGCCUGAUCCAGCCAUGCCGCGUGUGUGAAGAAGGUCUUCGGAUUGUAAAGCACUUUAAGUUGGGAGGAAGGGCAUUAACCUAAUACGUUAGUGUUUUGACGUUACCGACAGAAUAAGCACCGGCUAACUCUGUGCCAGCAGCCGCGGUAAUACAGAGGGUGCAAGCGUUAAUCGGAAUUACUGGGCGUAAAGCGCGCGUAGGUGGUUUGUUAAGUUGGAUGUGAAAUCCCCGGGCUCAACCUGGGAACUGCAUUCAAAACUGACUGACUAGAGUAUGGUAGAGGGUGGUGGAAUUUCCUGUGUAGCGGUGAAAUGCGUAGAUAUAGGAAGGAACACCAGUGGCGAAGGCGACCACCUGGACUAAUACUGACACUGAGGUGCGAAAGCGUGGGAAGCAAACA
rnacentral:rRNA from 1 species